UUCAGCUUUUACUGAAAAACUUUUCUCGUGGGAGGAUUGGCCGUCAUUUGGAGUUGGGUAUCAUUAUGACUCCCACUCUGCCUCACGGGGUACAUACACUCUGGACAAAAAAACUCUCUGCCUCCAACCAUCUUGUCAUCUUAUCUGUUCUUAGAGCCCAAAAUGGUCUGUAGUGUGGAGAAGGAGUCAGAGGUUCCCCUUUGGAAAGCUGAUAGUGACUGCUUUUGAACAGAGUCCCAUGAGGGUCUAUAGUUGCUCUGUGUGCAGCCCUGGAUGCUAAACUCGUGAGAAUUCACCUUAAAAGUCAUUAUUUUUCCCCUUAUUUGUUUCAGUAUUGUGCUAUAUUUUAACUUUUAUUUUGACAUGGCCCUCCCUGUUGGUCCUUUCCCCCCUCAUUGCAGCUCUAUAAGUAUCUCUAACAAACCUCUCCCUUCCUCACAACCAGAAUUAUAGUCAUGUGUCUAGUCACUAUGGCUUUGGGUAUUACUAUCUACUUGUGUCAAAAAGAGAAGCUAUAUUGGGGGCAGUAUAUAAAAAGGGCUGUUCCAAAAGCUGGGUGAAGAGAAAAAGGGUUGUUACUAUAGAAUCGCAGGUAGGGCAGGGGACAAAAAGAAUUUAACAGGAAGUUAGGCCUAGGUCUGAGGCCAGGAGAAAUCAAACCCUGCAUUUUAAACUGGAAGGGCUUAGUCUAAGAGAUGCCUGGAGGAAUAGUCUGAAGAUUGGUGAUAAAGAGGUUGAAAUAAAGGAAAAAAGAUUCACUUGUAGUUUAAGUGAAGCCAGGCAGUUUGAAAUCUAUGUCUAUUAAAACUUUGCAUCCAGUGAGGUAUUCUUUUCUGAAACUUGGUUUCUAUAGCUAGGAUAAGGGUGGCUUCUUAAGGAACUAAGCCUCACUGAAUAUUUUUUACAAGACACUGAAGAUUCUAUGUUUGCCUUUGCCUGAAGUUUCCACUCAUAGGUUUUUCAUUAAAAAAUUUAUAGAGUGUUUUUUUCCCCCGAUGGCAAAAAGAACUCACGUUUCAUUGUAAAGUAAAAUUUAGACAAUAUAGAAAUGUUUGAUAUAAACAGUGAAAAUCCCCCAUGAUCCUCUGUUAAAGGAAAUACUAAUAACAGUUUGGUGUUAAUAUAUUUGUAUUUUUCCAUAUGUCACACAUAACUUUUCUAUUUUUGCUUUUUUUAAAAAAAACAAAAUGUUUUGUUAAUUUUUUUAUGUAUUUUUGCGUUUUUUUCAUAUUUUUAAUGGUUGUAUAUAGUACUCCAUGUUCAAAAGGCCAUACCAUAGUUAGUGUUAACCAUUUUGUAUUGAAAACCAUGUGCAUUGGUUACAGUGUUUUAGUUACAAACAGCUGCAGUGAACAUCCUUGUGUACAUAUCUUGGUGCUCUUAUAUCAGCCUUUCCCUGGAUUGAAUUCCUAUAAGUGAGGUAUCUAGGUCAAAAGGUGUGUACAUUUAACUUUUUAAUAGAUAUUAUCAUCGUGCCCUCCAAAAAUGUUUUCACAGUUUUAUUCUCCCUAACAUUUAUCUUUAUUAGGCUGAAAAACCUAUCAUUCUUCACACAUAAGUAGUAAAACUGUAUGGUCCUUAAAGAAAAUGGAGGUAAUGUUCAUCACAAAAUUGAGGAUAAUGGUUACCUGAGGAGUGUGAAGGGGAGAGGGUUGUCAUCAGGAAAAAAAGUGCUUGGGGAGGUGGCCUCUGGGAUGGUCUACUUCUUGGCCUUGGUAGUAAUUAAGUGGAUGUUUGCUUUAUAAUUACUUAUUAAACAGUGUAUAUAUGUUUUGUGUAUUUAUCUUUAUAUAUAUUUGGUAAUAAAAAGAAAAAGUCAUUCAACAAAUAUUUAUGAUGUAUACCUACUAUGUAUGAAGGAACUGUUCUGUGUAACAGAGAUACUGCAGUGAACAAGAUAAAUUUCCCUGUUCUGAGAUAAUGUAGGAGAUUGAUGAUAAAGAAAGAAAUACAUAAAUAAUAAGAGUCAGAAGUGGUAAGUGCUAUAAUCACAUAUAGCCAGGUAAAGGGGAGAAAGUGGUAGCUGUAGGGACAACUCAAUUUUGGAUAGGGCUGUCGAGAAGGAACCUUUCAAGGGAUGAGAUUUGAACAGGCACCUAAUAGAUUAAAAAGAAGUGAAAGAAUAUUGCAGGCAUUUAAAAGCCUAGGAAUGAAUGGAAAGCAAGUUGAUGUGACUGGGGUGUAGUCAGUUUGAGAAGAGUGUGGGAGAUGAGGUCAGAGGGACAGUCAGUGGCUAGAUUAUGUAGGGCCUUACUAAGCCAUGAGACAGAUUUGGGAUCUUAAUCGGUGUGCUGCAAAGCCAGUGAUCUGUUUUUGGCAGGGGAGCAUCAUGAUGUGAUAACUGUUGUUAAUUUUUUUUUAAUGUUUAUUUUUGAGAAAGAGAGAAAGCGCAAGUGGGUGAGGGGCAGAGAGAGAGGGAGACACAGAAUCCGAAGCAGUCUCCUGGCUCUGAGCUGUCAGCACAAAGCCCGACGCGGGGCUUGAACCCACAAAUCACGAGAUCAUGACCUGAGCCAAAGGUGGACGCUUAACCGACUAAGCCACCCAGGCUCCCCGAUAACUGUUUUUAAAAGAUUAUGUUGGCUGCUGCAGGAAAAUGGAUUGUAGGGCCUGGGUGGAAACACAGAGAUCAGUGAAGGACUUUCCAAGAGGAGAGUUGAUGGUAGUGUUGAUUAUGGAGGUGGUGAGAAGGGUUAUAUUGGGCGUGUGUUUUGAAGGUAGAAAUUUUGAGUCAAAUCUCCCAUCUGAGCUCUCUGAGUUUGAGAUUCUGUUCUGGUACCUUUUGUUGGGUGUCACCUAAGAAUUUGUACACUCAGAGUGACUGGAGCUGUAUUCAGAUGAGUGUCAGCUCCCCCUCCCUGACCUUUGCCCUCUGUGAUGCCCCAUCUUCUCAUCCACCCCCACACUCUCUGUUCCCAGAAGAGCCACUCUUCUGAGCUGGUGUCUGAUAUGGCACAUGUGGGAGGAAGUUGGUGCAAACAGGUGCUUUGUUUGUUUCCUGCCUGUUGGGAGCUAUAUUCCUCAGUCUGCCUCUAACAUUUUCCAUACACACAAAGAAUACAGUGUGCAUACUAGCUGGAGCUGAUCUUCCCUGAAAAGACUAAUUUUCCUCUGAAGAGUAAACAGAUCCUUGUUCUUUAAACAGCCCAUUUGGGAUUUGCAUCUCUACAUCUGGCACACUUCUCGAAGCAAAUUUUUCCCUGGUUUCCUUCUCAGGGUUAAAGGCUUUUAAGUAGUUGCCAUUAGUGUCACGGUCGCUCUGCUGCUGGUGGGUGACAUGUAGCCAUCCUUGCUUCUAGAGCACUUUACAGUGAACAGCUGCUCAUCAAAAGUAGUUUUAAUUGCUGAAUGGGCUUUUGUACCUUUUAGGGUGGGGGAUGUCUUGCUUGUUUUCUUCUUCUUUAAAAACAAUUUUUUUUUUACAUUUAUUAAUUUUUUGAGAGACAUAGAGACACAGAGCACAAGUUGGGGAGGGGCAGAGAGAGAAGGAGUCACAGAGCCCGAAGCAGGCUCCAGGCUCCGAGCUGGACAGCACAGAGGCCGACCUGGGGCUUGAACUUACAAACAGUGAGAUCAUGACCUGAGCCAAAGCCGGACACCCAACCAACUGAGCCACCCAGGCAUCCCGCUUGUUUUCUUCUUAAAGUCUGCCUCCUUUACAUGUUUUUGUAGAAAAAGACAUGGUAGUUUUUAGUCAGCCUAUCCCUGAAAGCAGUUAUGAAAACAAGAUUAUUUCCCAACCAAAUAACAGUUAUUUAUUUAUUAUUUUUUUUUUUUUUUUUUGAGAGAGGUGGGGACAGAGGAGAAGGAGAGAAUCUUAAGCAGGCUCCACACCCAGUGCAAAGCCUAAUAUGGGGCUUGAUCUCAUGAUGGUGAGAUCAUGACCUGAGCCAACCAAGAGUCAGAUGCUUGACUGACAAGCCACCCAGGUGCCCCCAAAUAACAGUAAUUUAAAUUUCCAAAGGACAUUCAUUCAUGGUACCUACUCUGAUAUCAUCAUAACUCUGUGAUGGAGGCAGUGCUAAUUAUUCCUUUUUUGACAAAUAAGGAAAUUGAGGAUCAGAAGUUUAGUGACAUUGCCCAAGGCUUUACACUGGUUACAGGUUAACCACUGGUUUGAAGAUUGGUUUUUGUACAUUUUCAAAGAUGGGUAGUCAGUCGAUCAGAAAUAAACACCUCCUCACAUGUAUUUCUAUCUCAUUGGCUUCAUUUUUAGUUAAUAUUCACUGCAUAUUAUUGUCUUGGAUGCCCCUUACUUCAGAGUCACUGAGUAGAAUGAAUCCAAAGGUUGGGAUCCACUUUUAGCAAUUUCUAUUUGUUAUGUCAAGGGUGUGCUAAGAGGAUUGAAAAUGAUUUGUUGAGAGGAUCACUUCAGCUAGAGCAGAAAAAGGGCUUUUGCAUCUAGGAGCUCUCUCUAUGAAGACAGCAUUUCCAGCUUUUUCCAGAUUGGUACUAUUGCUAAUUAGUAGGUUAAACACAUUAGGGUGGUAAUUGCUUGUUAUUUCAGCAUAUGUUUUUAUUAGUGGAUUUGUGUCUUGAUUAUUUGAACCUGUUCUUAAUUAUUUACCAAAGAGAAAGCCAUGCCUGAUCCUGGAGUCUUCAGGUUUGUUGUAUUAUUUACAACUCUUUCUAAUUCUGAUUAUCUUUUUCAAAAGAAGAGAGCCUAAGGUUCUAGCAUAUUGUCUAAAUUUGGGGGGGGUCGAAAGGCCCAAGAUUAGGUAAAUCACAGUAGGAGUAAUUCUUCUUAAUACUCCUAGAUUUGACUUAAUACAAUGGCAAUCAGCCUUUUUUGGACAUUGAAUCUAGAUUCCCUCCAUCUCUGUAGACAGCUUAGUGUAUCAUUGUUGGAGUGAUGAAGUAGAGUUAAAUGAGCUGACCCUGCCUGAUGUGAGGUGAGGUCUUUAAAUUUUGUACCUGGCAAAUGGGUUGCAGGUGGUAGGAAGGGUGUAGUUUAUUGGCAGAGGAAAAAAAUUGUCAGCAAACUGUUUACUCUUUUGCUACCUGUGCUGGUUAACCCAUGGUUCUCGCCCCUAAAUAUUGUUGCCUUGAGAAAGGAAAUCUCUGUAUUCAGUGAGUAAACAUAAUCAGCAGAAAAGCAGGUCAUGUUUUGAUCCUGUUAGCAUCUUCUUCUUUGCUCUUCAUUGGAGUCCAGGACAGUAAUCCAAUGAUAUCAUAAUUUUUAGAAUUGAAAAAGGACUUCCAGUGUAUAGCUGGACCGUGGUUUAUAAAAUGCUUUUCAGAGAUUCUGCAAAUUUGAUUGUUUUUAAAAAUUUGUAACACUUUGAAGAACCAUUACCAAAACAGAUACCAUGUAUUGUCUUGAAACAGAUGCCACAUUUUAAUGUAUGAAAGGUAUUUAGUACCCCACUUUGUGCUGCCAACUUACGUUGGCUUUGGGGAGACAUUGGCAUACACUCUUCCUUGUCCCUCUCCAGUACUAUUAUAAGGUGUGUGCACUGUGUAAAAACUGGUGGCAUUUGUAACUGCUUCACUGGGUGUAUAAAAAAAAAAUUUGUUUUCAGUAUUUUAAAAUCACAACUAAAUCCACAGAUACAUCAUAGUGAGUAAAGUUACCACUGUCAUCCUUAUUGUUUAAUUUCAGAUUGUUUCUAAAAAGCCUCAUUGUUCUGAGUUUUAAGAUUUUAUACUUUUAAAUUUCUAAAAUAUUUAAUAUUAAUAUAAGAUUUCCUUUAUCAGUAUCUGUUUAUUGAGGCUUAUCAUAAGAUUUCAUAUAGAAAAGAGUUCUGAAAAAAAUAAAAAUAAAAAGAAGACCCAAAACAAAAAACUCACAUAAUUUGGAAAACUGCUGGUUUAGAUCAGCGAUUCUCGAACUGUGUUCCCAGGUGCCAUAGGUCUCCAAGAGGUGCCUCAGGAGUAGUUGCAAGGAAUAACUGAAAUCUAGUGGAUUCUUUUCCCCUUCCCCAUUUCCAUUCCAACCUGAGCAUUUUUGUUUUAUUAUAUCGAAGUUCUGCUUAAUAUCUUAUUAGAAAAAAGGUUUUUAACUGUGUAUUUAAAAAUAUGAUACACGGAUCACUAAUUUAUUAAUAAAUAGUUAAGGAAGCUGAGACCCAUGGAGGUUAAGUGACUUGCCAAGAUUACAGUCCCAGUCCUUUGUUACUUUUAAUGGUACUCUUACUGAGAAGUAAAACGAGCCAUCUCUUUGGGAGUAAAUAGUAUAAUACUGAUAAAGAAAAAAACCCCAAAGGAGUGUAUUCACCAUUUAGUAGAAGAGUAGCCCAAGUUAUGAUUUUAUUAAUACUGAAGUUUCUGUAACAGAUAAAUCCUCAAAUCUUAGUAGCUUAAUAGAGUGAGUUAAAAACUGGUAAUCCCAAUUGAUGGGUGGCCCACAAUUCAGGCAGUGAUUCAGUGAUGCAGCCAUCUCCUUCCAUCCUGUGGCUCUGCCACGUUCAACAGGUGGCUUCCCAAGGUUGCAGCAGAAGGGAAAGAAUCUGGAAGGUUUCUGUGGGUCAUGCCUGGAAAUGAUGCACAUACCUUCUGCUCAUUGACUGGUCAGAACUUGGCCAAAGGGUCUCACCCAGUUACAAGAGAGUCUGGGAAAUGUAGGCCAGCUUUGUGCCUAGGGAGAAGUGGGUUGGUGAACAGAUAGCCAGUCUCAGCCAUAACAGCAUCAGUGGAUAGAGUCCUGGACUUUAAUGGGCUUCGUUUUCUGAAGGAGUUGGAGUGGCUUAUUGCUAAGGUUCCACCAUUCUAACUAGAAUAGUAGACGCAGUUGUAACAGUACCCCUUUUUUGUACACGUAUACCAUUUUGUUCCAACUAGAGAAGCUGUUGGUCUUUUUGUACUAGGAUAAGAUCUCUGAUAAUCACAGAUUUGGGUAAAUUCCUAUGACACUAUAACUUAACCCAGAAUCACCAAAAUUUUUUCAUUUUUUAUUUAAAAAAAUUUUUUUAAUGUUUAUUUUUGAGAGAGAGAGAGAGAGAGAGAGAGAUAGGGAAGGAGGGGCAGAGAGAGAAAGACACAGAAUUGAAAGCAGGCUCCAGGCUCUGAAUUAUCAGCUCAGAGCCUAACUUGGGGCUUGAACUCAUGAACUGUGUUCAUGAAUAUAUUUUUUAGAUUGUCUUCGGGUAGGGUAGACCCAUAUAUGGUUAUAAUAGGUAGGAUAUCACUAUUAUAAAAGAUGAACCCCAAGAUCUUAGUGGCUUUACGUAAGAGAAAUUUAUUUCUCAUUCCCAUAAAGUCCAAACAGUAUUCCUGUUUACAUAAGGAAAAAAUGUAGUAUCAUGUUUAGUGGGAAGAAUUGGCCUGGAAAACAGACGACCUCAGUUCUAGCCCAUGUUCUGUCCUUUUCUGACCUUAAAUAAAUCCUCACCGAGUCUCAAUUUCUGUGUCAGUAAAACGGGAAUUGAAUUAGAUGUUUCUUUCCCUCUCUAAAUGUCCACGUAAAUGUAUGUGAUCUCUGUUAAAAACAAGAUUUUUAAGGGGACCUUCUCACAUUAUGUAGUAUGUUGUGAGUCUGGUAGCUUUGUAGUGCUGCAUUCAACGGAUAGGUGCAGAACCUAUCCAUUUUUUACAUGCAGAACCUAUCCAUCCUUCUCUAGGACCAGGGGCAGCUUCCCCUCUCACCAAAUUUCAGUGAGAUGAAUUUCAAAUUUAUAUAAUGAGAAACAGAGACUGAGAUGUUUGGUGCUGCAAAAAAAUUUCUUUUCUAUUUCAGUCAUGACACAUAAGGUACUUUCCCUGCACACGAUUGCUGUUGUGGGCAGUGAGGAGGUGUUUGCUUGCUUUUCCUGUUUAAAACUAUGCAGCAUAGUACUAAGGUUUUACGAGGCUGACAUUCCCAACCCUCUAGAAAUAAGUCAGAUUUUCCACAUUGCCCUGGUAUUAUCAGUCGCAUUCAGUGCUGCAUGUUUGUCAUUUGCAGAACUGGAAGAAUUCCCCCUACACACAUCUCUCGUCAUCGGUUGCUAGGCUACGGCUUUUUACAUUGUCCCAGUCUGGUGAUGUUGCUAUGGAUACCAGUUAUUCCUCCUCUUAUGAUGCUGUUCUGGUCAAGCUCAGAGUGCAGGCAAGACGUAACAAUGAUGUCAGAGAUGUUUUAGCAUAUGGCCUUCCCUCUACAUUAAUGAUAAGAUCUAAGUAAUAGAUAUCAAUUCCAUGUUUUCUAACGUAUAAGUUAAAGAAAUGAGGUAUUAACUGAAUCCUAGACAUACUCCAUCACUUAGGAACUUUAUUCCAUUAUUAUUUUACAGAAGUGAAACUACCAUUAUGAACUAUGAAUGGGGAACCUGCCGUACUGUGUCCAUAUUGUGUCCAUACCAGCAUGCUGCCUCCUCUAAAGAUUAUAUUCCAUGGAAUAUAAUCAUUACUUUUGACAUUGCCCUCAAAGGGUAGGGGUAUAUGGGGAUGAUGUUUGUCAAACUCAGUUUAUCUAAAUGAUAAAGCCUGUGGUCUAAAUUUUAUUGCCAUUUAAUAUCACACAUGGUUAUGUUUGUUUUCCUUCUGUGUUUCAGACAGCAUGAAGGCAGGGACUGUCUUCAACUGGUUUCUGUCCCUAACAAUGAUUAGUAUAGUGCCAUACACAUGGCAACAAUGGAGAAAAGGCUUAUUGAUGUGUUCUAAAGACUAAAAGAGUAGGCAAUUACUAAUCUGACUUUAGAUGUCUAACAUAAUGUUUUAAGUUAGCAAGAACCCUUUCAUACUGCAGUCGUUGAAGGUCAACUUAACCCAUGUUACUUAGCUCCUACCUGGUCUCUUUGAUCUCACAGUUGUAGAAACAACUAAGGCCCUAAGAGGAUGUGACUCAUCUAAGGUCACAGAGCAAGUAAGCUGUGGCUUAUGCAAACAUGUAUUGUAAAAAGUCUGUAAAAAAAAAUUUUUUUUUUUUAAAUCUUAGCACUAAAAAUAAUUCUGUGUACUUAAACGAUAGUAUUUUGUUUUAUGCUGUUUAUUUACUUAAAAAGCUGGUAGACAUUAAAGGGGAACUUCAGUGUUUAGCAGGAGCUCUGUGAAGAGCAUACCGGUUUUUAUUUCAUGGCAACUCGGUGCCUUGUGGUCUACUUAACUAUUUGGCUUAUUCCUCAAAACCAGAUUGAAAUUGAACAUAACAUAGGAUUGAGGCCAGUCUUUCAAAAUUAGCAUCCUAUUUUAAAACUGGCAGAAUUAGAAUUAAAAACUCAUUCCUUGCAUAUGGUGGCACUUCCCUAAAUGAAAGGAAUUUAUUUACCAAAUAGUAUCCUUUUGUUUGGGGAAAAAACAAAAUGAAUGAAAACAUGUCUUCUGAAACAGACCGCCAAAGAUCUCAGUUAUGGACUUUUAACUGUCAGUGGGAGACAGACAAAUCCCUGAGAGUUGGGGAGAGUAACAAAGCAGAAGCCCUUAAAAGAUGAAGUGUAAUUCGAGAUGAACCUCCCCUCCUUACUAGGACCAGAGAAUCAGAGUCUGCCCCUCCUUUUUCUUCUACUGCCCUAUCCCUGGUUGAGGCUCUCUGAACUUCAUGCAGCAAUCUCCCGUGUAUCCCCCUGCCUUGAUGCUCUACCCCUCCAUUUUCUCCCAUUGUCGGAUUACCUUCAUCCAUGGUUGUUUCAGACAACUCAUUUUCUUCAGGAGCUACUUCUUUGCUUACAAAACAAAGUUGGGGCUCCAUGGUAUGGCUUUCAAAGCUCUUUGGCAUCUGGACCUAGCAUACAUUUCCAGCCUGUGUCCUGUUACCUUUCUUUUUGAGCCCCACGCUUCAACCAGACUGGCCUAUUUCCUGAUCCUGUGCUUUCCCACUUCACACUGCCACCUUUGGAAUUUUCCCCAGUCCUUAAGGCCAAGCUUACUUGCCACUUCUUUCAAUGAGGCCUUUUCUGUUCUGCCCCCACCAGUUAUCUUUCCUUCUACUGAGCAGCAAGAGCGCAGUAGUACUUUUCUUUUGUCACUAGCAUUCUACCAUCUAUUGUGGUUGAUUCAUGUACUUUGUUCUGUCAAGGGCUGUGCACUCAGGGCACCUCCUACAGAAGGCAGAGCAACUUGUAUGAAAUGUGGAUGCUUAGGAAGCAUUAGAACUACAUUUAUAAGUUAAGCAAAUAUAUAUUGUGUAGUUCUGUGGUUUAAGUGUUAUAGAAGUUUGAGUAUUUACUGAAAGAUUUUACCCAUCCGGAGAAUUAAUAUUUUACUUCCUUUAAUGUACACUCUUUUUCUUUUUUUUAAGACAUAUUUUUUAUUAACUUUUUAAAAAUUACUGAGAUAAAUUGGGGCCCCUAGGUGGCUCAGUUGGUUGAGCAUCUGACUCUUGAUUUCGGCUCAGGUCUGAUCCCAGAGUCAUGGGAUCAAACCCCACAUUGGGCUCUGUGCUGAGUGUGGUGUAUGCUUAAGAUCCUCCCUCUCUCUCUCUCUCUCCCUCUUUCUCUCUCCCUCUCCC